rnacentral:rRNA from 1 species
UACGUAGGGUGCAAGCGUUGUCCGGAAUUACUGGGCGUAAAGCGCACGUAGGCGGCUUUGUAAGUUAGAGGUGAAAGCCCAGGGCUCAACCCUGGAAUUGCCUUUAAGACUGCAUCGCUAGAAUUGUGGAGAGGUAAGUGGAAUUCCGAGUGUAGAGGUGAAAUUCGUAGAUAUUCGGAAGAACACCAGUGGCGAAGGCGACUUACUGGACACAUAUUGACGCUGAGGUGCGAAAGCGUGGGGAGCAAACAGG